GAUGAAUGCUGGCGGCGUGCCUAAUACAUGCAAGUCGAGCGAACAGACGAGGAGCUUGCUCCUCUGACGUUAGCGGCGGACGGGUGAGUAACACGUGGAUAACCUACCUAUAAGACUGGGAUAACUUCGGGAAACCGGAGCUAAUACCGGAUAAUAUAUUGAACCGCAUGGUUCAAUAGUGAAAGACGGUUUUGCUGUCACUUAUAGAUGGAUCCGCGCCGCAUUAGCUAGUUGGUAAGGUAACGGCUUACCAAGGCAACGAUGCGUAGCCGACCUGAGAGGGUGAUCGGCCACACUGGAACUGAGACACGGUCCAGACUACUACGGGAGGCAGCAGUAGGGAAUCUUCCGCAAUGGGCGAAAGCCUGACGGAGCAACGUCGCGUGAGUGAUGAAGGUCUUCGGAUCGUAAAACUCUGUUAUUAGGGAAGAACAAAUGUGUAAGUAACUAUGCACGUCUUGACGGUACCUAAUCAGAAAGCCACGGCUAACUACGUG
rnacentral:rRNA from 1 species